GAUGAACGCUGGCGGCGUGCCUAAUACAUGCAAGUCGAGCGAACGGACGAGAAGCUUGCUUCUCUGAUGUUAGCGGCGGACGGGUGAGUAACACGUGGAUAACCUACCUAUAAGACUGGGAUAACUUCGGGAAACCGGAGCUAAUACCGGAUAAUAUUUUGAACCGCAUGGUUCAAAAGUGAAAGACGGUCUUGCUGUCACUUAUAGAUGGAUCCGCGCUGCAUUAGCUAGUUGGCAAGGUAACGGCUUACCAAGGCAACGAUGCAUAGCCGACCUGAGAGGGUGAUCGGCCACACUGGAACUGAGACACGGUCCAGACUCCUAAGGGAGGCAGCAGUAGGGAAUCUUCCGCAAUGGGCGAAAGCCUGACGGAGCAACGCCGCGUGAGUGAUGAAGGUCUUCGGAUCGUAAAACUCUGUUAUUAGGGAAGAACAUAUGUGUAAGUAACUGUGCACAUCUUGACGGUACCUAAUCAGAAAGCCACGGCUAACUACGUG
rnacentral:rRNA from 1 species